UAAAGACAAACCCUAUGGCAGUUUUGUUAAGACAAAAGUGAGGCUGCAUUCACAACACGCUAUUUGUCUGGUCUGCUGGCCCAUCAACAUCAAUGUGUUCAUUCAUGCCAAUCCUAUAGAAACAGUGGAGACACUACAGAAGAUACAGGAUGUGCUUCAAGAAGUAAACGGUGAACACCAAAUGACCUGUGCCAAAAGAUAGGAACAGACUGGAAAGAGGAAGAAGCAUACCAUGAACUGGAGUCGGUAGGAAGGAAGUAGGUCCUUCAGCUAGACUUGAAGAAAGAAGAGGUAACAUGCAAGGAGACAUCACAGAGCCCUAAAGUGGCCUCAUCCAAUCAAUUGAAGGACUGAAUAGAAUAAGAAGACCAGAUUCCCAAACAAAGAAGGAAUUAUCUACUAGGUGCCUUCAGAUUUCAUCUGCAGCAGUGGCUCUCCAGACUGCUGGCCCACACUACAGAUUUUGCCCACCUUCAUAAUCAUACCAAGGGAUACUUGAUAUUCCGAUCCAAGUGGACACGAUAUGUACUAUCACUCUGUGAUCCUAGUAUUUCUUAUCCCAUUCAUCCCCUCUCUCAGUGGAAGUUUAUUUGUUGUUGUUGUUUGUUUAUUUGACUAAUGGCAUCCAGUUCCAUUACCACCACAAUAUGCUGGUAUAGGUACUAUAAAAAAAAUAGCUACAUCUGGACCUGAGGGAAGAGAAUGGAUGAAACUUCAGUUUGUCUCCUUUGGACACGGACUCUCUGACAAGUGCAUAGAUAUAUGUUGUGUUCGCUUCAGCAGCACAUCUACUAAAGAGGAAGGAUAUAUGUGAAGCUUUGGUGAUUAAAACAUUUAAUUGUUAAUACUCUUCAA